rnacentral:tRNA from 1 species
GUUCUCAUAGUUAAAUGGAUAUAACAGCCCCCUCCUAAGGGGCAGUUGAGGGUUCGAUUCCCCCUGAGAACA